CUGUUCACUUGUCAGACUGGCAAUGAGGAGUGAACAAAUAUCACACUAUUCAGCCUCCCUCCUGAGCUGCCAAAGAAUUUCAAACAGCUUCAAGGGCCAGAGCCAAAGGAUCUGCUGAGAAAGAAUAAGAGUCAAGGACUGAAACAUCAGAGGGACCCACACUACAGGGAGCAAGAAGCUUCAGAAGGACACCGCUUUCACAGAUUCUCAAGUUCUUCAUGGACUAUUAAGUAGAGGAGGGAAUAGAAGUAAGCGGAUUACUAUAAAACAUCUCCAAACAGGCACAUUUGACUCGGAAGAUGUUCCUAUCUGUGAGCAGAAGCAGCAGCAAGGUCUUUUGUGAAGAUCCAGAUAAGAGAAAGAAGAUGGACUAGGAAGUAUGAAGUGCCUUUUAUGCAUAAAUAUUAAACAAAAUAAACAAGGAAAAUAAAUGUGCAAAUGGAAGAGGGAAGAUCAUUUGAUUGUGAUUAUCAGAGCAGAGCUCUGCUAAAGCUGCCAGUCUUAAUAUUCGUACCAGGUGGAACACUUGGGAAUGCUUUCAUACAGAUUUGAAGAAAGAGAAAGGAUCAGUAAUAAUCCCUUGCAAUUCUGUCAUGUCUCAAAGUCCAACAUGCAGAAAAGGCAGAAUGAGUGUGAAAAGACCAUGCUGAGCCUGCAGCUUCUCUUCUUCAUCCAAAAUUAAGAAAAUCCAAAUGGCCAGCAAAGACUUCCAUCUUAAAAUAAAAAAUAAAUAAAUAAAAUUUAAAAAACAUAUCUGAGUCUAGCAGGUUUUCCAGUGUGUCAGUUCCUAGGUCAAUGUUUUUGAGCCCUCAUUCUUCAGGGUUUAUGAGCACACCACCAAAGUUGUCCACAGUUGUUUUUAUGUGUCACUAAUGAUGGAUAAAUUGUUUUCAUAGGUUUCUAAAGAGCUUCUACACUGUUUAACAGUGUGUAAAAUUCCAUCUAGUUAAGCUACAUAUCACUGAAGGAUUUUGCCAGAUUCAUCAUAAAAUGGACUACUACUAUGAGCUCGCUUAAUCCCAUAAACUCUUGAUUUUUAUAAUUUCCCAAGUUAUAACAAUAAAAAUUGCAAAUGAAGCUGCAGCUUCACCCAUCUUUUGUCAUUAUACCUGGCUCAAUAAACUUGAGUUAUCUUUUUCCCCUGUUCUCUCUGAGUUAAAAUAUUAUUUCUUUAUUUUAUCCAAAGGCCUUCUUGAAAUGAGCAGUAGCACCUAGAGUUCUGUGUAAUAGUUUCUCUGUGAUGAUUCAUUCACUUGCAGUUCUUUCAGGACGCUUUUUUAAAAAGAUUUUUUUACUUUUCUUAUAUUGAAGAAGAUUGGUCCUUUAAACUCUUGUUUUCUCACAUUUUUAAUUAGCUGAAGACUGGUUAGGAACAAUAUAUAGCAGAGACAAGAUAUAUCAGGGCAAAUAUAUCAUCAGAUAGCAUUUUCUUGUGAGUUUUCCUCGAUUUUUGUUAUGUGUCUUUUGGUACUUAGAUUCAGCUACAAUACAUAGAACCUUGUUAUCUGUGCUGUAAUUGAAGGUCCCCCUACUGAUUUCCAUAGCAAAUCAGAUGAAACUGUGUGGUAAAUGAAGUAAUUAUGGUCUGCUUAGCUCAGUCUUGUAUUUGAUAGAGUUUAAAGGAGUUCAAAGACAAUAAUAUCUUAUCCAAGGCUUCAUUUGAUAGGGAAGAAGUAAUAACUGUCUUACACUGUAGCCGUUCUGCGACAAUAGUACAGCCAAAACCCACUGUGUUCUGUCCUUCAGAAUUAUACCUACUAUUUCAGAUAGGAUUUGUGCAUACAAUUAAAUGGCAAGUUUUUUUCCUCUUAUAUGCUGGAAUAACCGGGAUCUAGUAUUUCCUCUAUAUAUUGGAAAUUCAGAUAUCUGAGAACUUAAAGCCUGUUUCAUAUGCUGAAGGAUCAUGACAAUAAUUCAACUUUGCUGACAAUUCCUACAAAAGGUACCUGUAACAUGUGCUGCUGAAUGCCAUUAUGAGUGCUAUUUUUCCUCUGUGUGCUUGUGUUAUUGGUAAAACUUCCCCUGAAACAGUCCUUUGCACAGUUUUAAACUAUGGUAAUAAAAUCAUUUAAUCUUGGAAGCAAGCCUUGCAAAAUGUGUUGUGGACUAGCAAGUGGCACUAUCAUGCCACUAACUUACCAACUUUGGAAAAUAUAAAAAUAAAAUCGAUAAAUAUGCAAA